CGCGUAGGCGGCCGUUUAAGUCAGGUGUGAAAGCCCGGGGCUUAACCCGGAAGUGCAUUUGAUACUGAGCGGCUUGAGUAUGGGAGAGGGAAGUGGAAUUCCUGGUGUAGAGGUGAAAUUCGUAGAUAUCAGGAGGAACACCGGUGGCGAAGGCGACUUCCUGGACCAAUACUGACGCUGAGGCGCGAAGGCGUGGGGAUCAAACA
rnacentral:rRNA from 1 species